GCCUUGGUGGUGGAAUAGGUAGACACGCCGGACUUAAAAUCCUGUGGCCGAAAGGCCGUGCGGGUUCAACUCCCGCCCAAGGUA
rnacentral:tRNA from 1 species